GGGAAACCUGGAAUGUCCGGAGUAGUGUCCGGUGGCCCUGCCCUGAAUGUAUAGGGGUGUGGGUGGUAACGCGGGGAAGUGAAACAUCUUAGUACCCGUAGGAAGAGAAAACAAUUGUGAUUCCGUGAGUAGUGGCGAGCGAAAGCGGAGGAGGCUAAACCGUGUGUGUGUUCAAGCCGGCAGGCGUUGCAUGUGCGGGGUUGUGGGGGCCUUGUGGUUCUGCUGCCGCAGGAUUGGCCAGUGAGAAAUGUUGCGUGAAGGUGAAGCGUCUGGGAAGGCGUACCGGAGUGGGUGAGAGUCCUGUAACUGUAAGCGUGGCACUGGUGUGGGGUUGCCCCGAGUAGCGUGGGACUCGUGGAAUUUCGCGUGAAUCUGGCGGGA
rnacentral:rRNA from 1 species